AACGUAGGAGACAAACGUUAUCCGGAGUUACUGGGCGUAAAGGGCGUGUAGGUGGUUUCGUAAGUCUGGCGUGAAAUUUCUCGGCUUAACCGAGGCAGGUCGUCGGAUACUGCGGAACUUGAGGACGGUAGAGGCGUGUGGAAUUCCGGGUGUAGUGGUGAAAUGCGUAGAGAUCCGGAGGAACACCAGUGGCGAAGGCGACACGCUGGGCCGUACCUGACACUGAUGCGCGACAGCAUGGGGAGCAAACAGGG
rnacentral:rRNA from 1 species